rnacentral:tRNA from 1 species
GAAGGCAUUCGUAUCCGGUGGUACGGCCGGACUUCAAAUCCGGUUAGGGGCGUCAGCCGCUCCUGGGUAGGUUCGACUCCUGCUGCCUUCCGCCA